rnacentral:rRNA from 1 species
AUCGAACGCUGGCGGCAGGCCUAACACAUGCAAGUCGAGCGAGCGGCGGACGGGUGAGUAAUGUAUGGGGACUGCCCGAUAGAGGGGGAUAAAUACUGGAAAAGGUGGCUAAUACCGCAUACUAUCGGAUAACCCAUAUUGGAUUAGCUAGUAGGUGGGGUAAAGGCUCACCUAGGCGACAAUCCCUAGCUGGUCUGAGAGGAUGAUCGGCCAAACUGGGACAACAACAAGGCCCAGAAGCCUACGGAGGCAGCAGUGGGGAAUAUUGGACAAUGGGCGCAAGCCUGAUGCAGCCAUGCCGCGUGUAUGAAGAAGGCCUUGGGGUGGUAAAGUACUUUCAGCGGGGAGGCGUUACCCGCAGAGGAAGCACCGGCUAACUACGUGCCAGCGGCCGCGGUAAUAC